rnacentral:SRP_RNA from 14 species
UGCGUGCGACGAGGGGAGCGAGCCAGACCGCUACCAGCCAUGGUGGAGCCGAGUGCCGCGGUGGAUGCGGUGGAGGAGAUUUCGCACGAGGAGGUGGGGGUGCUCAGGGCGGAGAACGACAGGCUCAGGGCGGAGAACGAGCAGCUGCGUGCGGCGGCGGAGUCAGUGG